rnacentral:misc_RNA from 1 species
AAUUAUCAAUCUUGCAAGCUUUUGCUUGUGAGGCUUGGAUGUGAGGGUUUUGCUGGCUUCCUUCAGCUGGAUGGUCUGCUCCCUUUAAAUUCAUUAGUGGGAUCCUUUGUGGAUGGUCACUUGGUGUGAUAAUUAUCUACGCCGCGCCUGACUAUGAAACAAGACUUGUGGGGACCUGCUUAUAACCGUCUCGCAAGGGACAAUUUAAUUGACU